UGGAAAGCAUAAUGUUUCCCAAGGCUGAUCAGAGUGCAGUUGAGGUCCCACCACUUACCCAGAAGCAUGCCUGGAGGCCCAGUCUAACCAUUUGAGUUUGGAGGCUGAAGAGUUUGUCUGCUAUGCUUUAGCUUCUCUCAUCUCACAAUGUGUUCUGCAACUUCUGGAAAGGAACCUGGACACAAGGAAAAAUGCUACAGAACAAAAAGAGCCACAAUACAAACCAUAUGACAACGCCUAUUUCUUCAUCCUCUUUGUCAUGUUGUUUUACUCUUUCCUGGCGUUAACUGUCUUUUUUGGUUAUGUACGCUCGAAGAAAGCUAUUUCAAAGAAAGAUCCUUACCAGGAGUUCAUCGAGGAUAGGAAUCGAAAUAAGAAGUGGAACGUGACCCGGCCGGUGGUGGUGAAAUUUGACUUUGAAGAAGAAAGUAUUCUUUGAACUCCUUAAACCAAAAUACUCUGUAAAAUGCACCGGACUGUCUCUGCUGCCUACAUCUCAAGUGAAGAUCUACACAUUUAUCUUGUUCGGCUGUCCCCCUCACAAUAAAUCAAAGCAUUGCUUAAAAUAGGUAAUGGAAAAAGAAGUUUCUUUCUUUCUUUUUCUUGUAAUCCAUUUGUUGCUGGAAUGUAGCUUUUCUAAAUAUUGGAGAAAUCUUGUAAACUUUAAAAUGGAGUGAAAAGUGGCCAUUUUUAGCUUUCGCUUCCAGUUUGGUGGAACAAGAAUGGGAAUCCAUGCUACGUCGAGACUCUGAAUUUAUUUAAGACAGAGGACUAGUUUGUGUAUGCACAUAGUCCAGGGGAAUGCUGUUGCUUCCGAGUUGUUCAGACCUGGAAACUGUUGUGCCUGGAAAGUGCCUCCCUCAAAUAGCAGAACACAUUUUAUCAUGCCUAGACCAGCAAAUACUCUUUAACAUGUAAAUAUAGAAAAGCUCUUCUUGCAUUCCCUUCCCUCAAAAAUUAAUUUCACAUGCUAUGGCAAAAGAUUCAAAAAAACAUCUGCAAAAUGUAAUUAAAAUGCAUCUAGUGGAAAAACAGGUUGUGUAUUCAGCAAAUUUGGAGUCCUUGCCUUUUCCAUCUCUUGUAUGUAUUUAUUCUUUGCUAGUUUCUUAUUGAAAUGUAUGUUUCAGUCCUAGUGAAUGGUAACUACAGCUGAUCACAAAUCUAACAGAGGAUGGCUUCUCUGUAUCUGCAAUAAAUAUUUUCUAAAAUGUUGCACAAGCUUCAUUCAGAGUUGUACUGAAUACGUGAGAUUGCCAUCUGAUUUAUUAAUUUUUCUCCUGCUUAAUAAGUAUUAAAGAGAAUAACCGUUCUGACAUAGAACGUAUUGCUGUGCUUAAUAUAAAAGAACAGUGCUUAUUGCUUUGUGAUAUCAUGCAUGUGAUAGACACACACUGCUUUGUGGUAGCACAUGUGUAUAGUCUUCUGAGACUUUCGUUUGUUUGCCGCCUUAUCUAGGGUCUCUCAAUUUAUGGUCUUUACUUGCUAUAGAACUGCUUAGAUACAUUACAUGUAUCUGCAUUACAGAUCCAGUUGCUGCUCAGAGGGCUAUCUGAGCACAGUAAUCAUUUUCAGGUGGUAGGUAGGCUCUGAUUUUUCCCUUAAUAUGCAUAUGAAAACAAAGUAGAACAAAUAAAUUUUCAUGAAUGUACUAACUUUUCUUUUUCUGCCAGUGGAAUUAUAAUGUUAAGAAUUUGAUUUUCUUAAGUGUGUAGUGUUCAUGAUUACACGUUGACUAUUUUAGAUGUGUAGAUUUUUAAUUCUUUCAAUAUUUAGAAGAAGUUUUUAUAUGUAUUCAGCCUGGGCUGAGCGAUCAGAUGUUGUUGUUCCUGUUUCCUGAUGGGAUGUGUUAAGUGUUUCUGGUGUGUGUGCAAGCAGGGAGGUUGAUGCUAUGCAUGACCCUCUUCUCAUAAAACUAAAAUUUGCUUCCCACUUAUCAGCAUGAAUGUUUGUAGAAGUAGCUGUGUUGGCUCAGGUCAUAGUGCUCUGUCUCUGAUAGGUGUGCCAGUGGAAGAUAAUAAGAAUAAGGUGGUACUUUCUCAGUUGUGCUUGCCCAGCCUCCAAGGAUUUGUUGGUCGGGGACCAUCUGAGCCAGAGGCCACUCGUUUUGUCUAAAUGUGGGGGUGGGAUAUGUGCAGAAUACUGAUGUGGAAGUGUAUGAACAUAAGCAUUUUAACAGGCCAGAAAAUGUUCACAGAUGUAUUUUUGCUGAAUUCAUCCAACUCCAAUUUAAAUGGUUUUGACUAUAGAAACAAGACCAGAGUUGCAGUUCUUGCACAAAUCAGUGUUUCGUCUAUGUUAUACGUGUCCUGGCUGCUUCAUCUAGAAAGUUUGGGGUGAAAAAAAAGAAAGUUGAAGUCAUCUUUGUUCCCAUCAUGCUCCUGACUUUGGAGUGUAUGAAAUGAAAAUCACUCUCAGUUGGGCGUCUUGUAACGGCUCAGAGCAAGCGGGGAGACUUACUCUUUCGAAUGCGGAGUUCUGGAUGUCUGAAGGACACCUGUCCUCUGAAAGGGUGUGUAAAUGUGGAUUUGCUCUCCUGACAGAAGAUCCUUUCUAUUUUUAUCUUGUAAUCAGUGUUUUUUUGAUUCUUUGCAGUGUAUGCUAUGUCAUCUUAAAAAUUAAAGAUCAAUUUUUUUGAAACUUCA